rnacentral:rRNA from 1 species
CCUACGGGAGGCUGCAGUGAGGAAUCUUGGUCAAUGGACGAGAGUCUGAACCAGCCAAGUAGCGUGAAGGAUGACUGCCCUAUGGGUUGUAAACUUCUUUUAUAUGGGAAUAAAAUGUUCCACGUGUGGGAUUUUGUAUGUACCAUAUGAAUAAGGAUCGACUAACUCCGUGCCAGCAGCCGCGGUAAUACGGAGGAUCCGAGCGUUAUCCGGAUUUAUUGGGUUUAAAGGGAGCGUAGGUGGAUUGUUAAGUCAGUUGUGAAAGUUUGCGGCUCAACCGUAAAAUUGCAGUUGAAACUGGCAGUCUUGAGUACAGUAGAGGUGGGCGGAAUUCGUGGUGUAGCGGUGAAAUGCUUAGAUAUCACGAAGAACUCCGAUUGCGAAGGCAGUUCACUGGACUGCAACUGACACUGAGGCUCGAAAGUGUGGGUAUCAAACAGGAUUAGAUACCCCUGUAGUC